rnacentral:rRNA from 1 species
CAUGUCUUUUUGAUUAUAAUUUAAGGUCUAAUCUGCUCCAUGAGUUAUUAAAUAGCCGCGGUAUCUUGACCGUGCAAAGGUAGCAUAAUAAUUAGUUUUUUUAUUGGAAACUGGAAUGAAUGAUUGGACGAGAAAAUAACUGUCUCUGUUUAAUUUUUAUUGAAUUUAACUUUUGAGUUAAAAGGCUUAUAUGUAUAUUAAAGACGAGAAGACCCUAUAGAGUUUAAUUUUUCUAAUAAUUAAUUUAUUUUGGUUAUUUAAUUGAUUAAUUUUUGGGUGAAUUUUGUUGGGGUGACUGCAUGAAUUAUAAAACUCUUGUAAUUUAAAAUCAAUGAUUUUUGAAUGUUAAAUCUAGAUGUUCUAAUUUUAAAAAAAAUUACCUUAGGGAUAACAGCGUAAUUCUUUAUAGAGUUCUUAUUAAAUAAGGAGUUUGCGACCUCGAUGUUGGAUUAAAAUAAAUGCUUGGUGCAGAUGCUAGGCUAUUGAGUCUGUUCGACUUUUAAAAUUUUACAUGAUCUGAGU